AGGGCUUCUUAUUCCACAAGAAUGAAAUCACCUUUUCAUUCUUUCAUAUACUAGGGGUUUUACUUGGAAAAGACAAUGUUCCAUACUAAAGGAUUCGGGUCCAUAACCACGAGUUCCAGUGCACUAGAUCUUGUAGCACUUAGCAACGAAGCCCUAUCCAUUAGUAUUCCACAUAAGAAAUCCAUUCUAGAAAAAAAUACAAUUAGAUUAGCUCUUCAUAGACAAACUUGGGGUUUGCGAGCCAAGGUAAGAUCGGCUCGGGAUCAUGGGACCCUUUUCUAUCAGAUAGGAGGGGCUCUUGUACAAAAUAGAUUACUAAGUAAUAACCCCAUAGAAUCUAUCUAUAUAAAGAUAAACAGGCAAUUGUGUUAG
rnacentral:rRNA from 1 species